AUGUCUAACUAUCAGGAGCCACCACUGGGACAGAUCAUAGGGCAACAAGGAAGCUUUCUCCUCCAGAUUUCCUGGGGUCAAGGAUUUGUGUGUGCAAGAACCCACAUCUGUUGCUGCCAGGCCCUGUCCAGUUUUUUGGUCUUGUCGUUCUUGGGAAUUAAAACUCCUGUGUUCCUAAAUUAUGCAACGUCAGCUUUCUGGAUGGAAGCCAUUUUGUUAGUGAGAUGCGGUGGAAUCAUAUGUUCUUUUUGCAGCUAUGUGCUUACCUUCUCCUUAGCACCCCGAAACACCUGA
rnacentral:lncRNA from 1 species